CUAAAACCCUUUUUAGUAAAUCUUGCUGCCUGUACCAUGAGACCAGCAAAUCUUAAUUUAAUUGACUCCCCUUGAUUAUUUACGCACAAUACCAAGUACCAAAAACAACAAAAAGAUGGAAAUAACAAGGGUGACGUCACAGAAGAAAUAAAGUGCAACAACAACCCAGUAUAAUCCCACUAGUGGGGUCUGGGGAAGGUAGUGUGUACGCAGACCUUACACCUACCCUGGGGUAGAGAGGCUGUUUCCGAUAGAUCCUCCGCUCCCUCCCUCCAAGAACUCCCCACCUUGCUCUUGGGGUGACUCGAACUCACAACCUCUUGGUUGGAAUUGGAGGGUGCUUACCACUAGAGCAACCCACUUUUGUCAGAAGAAAUAAAGUGCCUAACAGUAAAAAGAGGCAAAAGAAUACCUAAUCCCACUCUUUGGCUUGGGCUCAACACGAAGCGGCAGGGGAAUUGAUGCUGGUGAAGAAUCAGCAACAGCUUUGUUUAAAAUGGUUAAGCAUUACACAGAAGAUGGAACUGGUUAACUACAACUUGAUAACCUUACAUUAUCUAUGUCCUUUUCUUUUGGUUGACAAGUUAUCUGUGUCCUAUGCUUUCUCAAGCCACAACAUCCUAUCUGCUGGCAAGGCUAAACUUGAUGAGGUAAAUCAUCAAAUCAGCCUUUAUAAAGAUUAUACAAAUCAGCCUUUAUAAUGAUUAUUUUUUUGAGAAGGUAGCCUUUAUAAUGAUUAUACAUAUUAAUGAAACUCAUUUGACAUCAAUUAGCACUUGCAGUCACCAUAUAAUGUUAACAUACGAGGGAUACACAAUGGAAUGCGGUAAUAUCAAAGGAAGAACCAGUAAAAAGGAUAUCUUGAAUGCUUGGAAUGCACGUUUUUCGGUACGUCUCAGAAGGCGUUCAGCAUCCUCCUCGGCUUCCAUCUGCUCCUUUAGAUAAAGCAAGUCAUCGCUGUCCAAGGCUGCAUUGCAUAACUUAAACAAGGCUCAGGAAACUAUUACACACUUCCAUUAUAUUGAUGGAUGGAUGUACCAAGAAGAAAAAGAGGGGAGGAAUUAUUUUGAGCAAGAAUCUGUACCGCC
rnacentral:lncRNA from 1 species